rnacentral:piRNA from 1 species
UCACCGUACUGUGGGUAAUGAGCCAGACA